CAAGAGCGUAUGUAAAAGUUGUUGCAGUUAAAAAGCUCGUAGUUGAACCUUGGGUUUGGUUGGCCGGUCCGCUUUUUUGCGAGUACUGGAUUCAACCGAGCCUUUCCUUCUGGCUAACCAGUCGUUUCGGCGGCUGGCGAACCAGGAUUUUUACUUUGAGAAAAUUAGAGUGUUCAAAGCAGGCAUUAGCUUGAAUAUAUUAGCAUGGAAUAAUAGAAUAGGACGUUAUGGUUCUAUUUUGUUGGUUUCUAGGACCAUCGUAAUGAUUAAUAGGGACGGUCGGGGGCAUCAGUAUUCAGUUGUCAGAGGUGAAAUUCUUGGAUUUACUGAAGACUAACUACUGCGAAAGCAUUUGCCAAGGGCGUUUUCAUUAA
rnacentral:rRNA from 1 species